CCCUUCAAAACCGAUCCCCAAUUUCCACCGAUGCCGAGCUAACAUAGAGCUCGAUCCCCAGCGGUGGCGGCCACCGGCCAGCCAUCAGCUCCGCCGGCGCGGAUCUUAAACGCUGCCAAGGCCAAGCACCCCCGCGCAGACAAUGGUGACUAUGACGUCGGUGCCUUCAGGGUCGGAGACUCUAGGCGAUAGAGCACGAUGGUGGUGGCUGCAUCGGCGGCGUUGGACUCUCUCGUCCUCAGCCGGUGCUGUGGCAGGACAUGAAACUGGUGUUAAGGAGGAUCUGGAGGUGUUUCAUGACAUGGAAACUGAUGUGCAAAGAAAGUUUCGGAGAGGGUUUCGACCAAUGGUGUAACUACUUGGAGGAGGUGAUUGACUCUUCCUGAAGAAGAUCAAAGAUGGGGAUAGUGAAGCGGGAACUCUGAAUCAUCUUCCAUGACCAAAAAGCGAGCACAAGCUAGGGAACUCAAGUCUGUAUUUUCUCUAUUUUGUAAGGCUUUAAACUGAUGUUGUGCGGCAAUGAAGAGGCACCAGCUACUGGAGGACGCUGGUGAUUCUCGUUGUUGGCCGGUGGGGGAGGUACACUCCCUCCUAAAAAUACUCAAACUGAACGUUUGCCUUGUUUUCUUAAUGAAAUGGGGCAGGGCAUGCCUGCCUGUCUGUCUAAAAAAAAAAUUGCUUCUGUUGUGUGGGUCUUACAUCUAAAUAGUGCUGAGGCUUACUGGUACAGGCAAGAAAUCUACAAUUCAGAAUGGUGAAGAUCAUGUAGGCCCUUUGGAAGUUCAGGGAAAGGAUGGAGGGUGGAGAAACACCAGAAGCUAACAAGCUGUGAGUGUAAUGCUAUGAUUGAUUUCAAGAGAAAAGACGAUGGUACAUACCAGUUGCUCAUUUUGAUGAGGCACACACCAUGUAAGAGACUGUUAAUCACGUCGAAGAGUAGAGCAAGAUGCCAAGUUACCAACAUUGUUGUUGUAAUGUGUUACUUAUUGUAACUGUUAGCAAUGUAAAGAGUAAUGUGUGCUUGAUUGUAUGUACUGUGUGCUGCCAAAAAGAUGCAUUUACAUGUGUGAUAUGAA